AGAUAUAUGAUUAUUAUUAUUGAUAUUAUUAUGAUUUUUUCAAGUUAAAGUCAGAAGGUAGAAAAUCUGUCUGUGAUUUAACAGCUUCACACAACAGUUCUAUGAUAUCGCCAACCUCCUUCUAGUUGUUUACACAUGAGCGAGGUGUUGCAGAGGUGUGUGAUUUUCCAAAAUCAAUCAAAGCAUCAGAGUAAAACACAACUCGGUGUAUAACUUGGAUGCUCUGAAGUGUAGUGCAGCACAUAAAUUUGACUUGGACAUCUCCAUCAUACCAUUGUAGUCUAAAUAAUAUUUGAAGAUGAACUUGUUGAGAUCCUUUUGUUGAACAUUCAAAUAUACAAUACUUCAAAAAUACAUGCUGUGUUUAAAUACAAAAAGAUUCUGUUGUUAAUUGCCAGCUAACUGCACACCACACAUCCCUACAUUACACCUCUGCGCCAUGAUGCCUUCUCUUCUUUAAACACAAGUAGAAGUGUUGCAGUUUGUUGAUGUAAUCAACAUAGUCAAGUAAAAUAAUCUGUUAACAUCAAUAAUUGUAUCACUUUAAAUCUCUUUUUGCAGUCUGCAGCAGUGUGUGUGUGUGUGUGCGCGUCAGCUGAUUUUGGCUUCAGUCAUUGGCUAGUUCUGCCUGCGCUACUGUCUAAAAGACAAGUGAUUGAUCACCCCCUAAUGAGCCGGGGUUUAUUACAGUUUUUAAAGGCUGAAGUGGUCUAAAGUAUAGGAGUACUUCAGGUUAGGCCCGGGUAAACUGAGGUUUGGAUUAUGUGUAAGGUUUGGUUUGAACCAAAGCAGCACAAGCAACAUGCAUGAUGGGCAGCUGAAAAGACAGAACAAGCUGCUGAUCCUGCUGAUGAUCAGGAGAAAAUUACUUUAAGCUUUGUCUAUUUCUAAAGCUGCUGAAUGUGCUCUGUUGUUAGACAAGUUGUCUGUUUGCUAGUUAUUUCCCACGUUUUACCCAUUAACUGCCUGUGUUAAAGUGUAAACAAUUUACAGAAGCCCAAACUAGUGUUUCUUCAUCCCAUUUGACGAACGAAUGUCUUGUAUAUGUUUAUUCAUUAUGUAUAAAAUGGUCCACUUGGAUAAUUAUCUGGACCACAGCCCAGCCCCAACUUAUAAAAUAAGCACAGGGUUUUGCCAUGUGGGGGUGUGGCAGGAGAAGUGGAGAGGAGAGAAACUGCUGUUUGGACUGGUAAUGCUCCAAUGUUUGCCUGAAGAAGUCAAAAUUUGGGGCUUUAAGAGGACGUUUUUGUCUCAGCCAUGGCAAUAAAGAGGACAAGGACUUCUAUGUCAUUCAUUGCCACAUGUAGCAUUGACCAGAUUAGCUGACAGAAGGAUCUUUGGGAGAUUAUCUACUAGCCCUGAAGAAGGAAAACACCGGUGGCAAACAAAAAAGCUGAACCGGUGAGAAGUUUCCUUUUCUCUUUUUUUUUGGUAUAUACAGUAUUUGGGCCCCAACAUUACUUUCCAUGCAUUAUUUUUGAGUGCUUGUGAGCAAAUCCUUUGUCCGGACUUUUCCUAGAGUUUUUGAGAGAUCGUGCACAGUCAUAUCGCAAGAGGAUUUUUAUUUCAGAGACACUUUCUUUUUUCUAUAUGAACUAUUGCAUGAGCUGUUUCAUGGUGGUUUUGUUUUGUGUGUUUUGGGGGAAAUUGUGCAUCUGAACAGAUGAUUGUGUGUAUGAUCAGAUUUAGGAUGUUAUUAAAUACAGCAUGUAAUUCAGAAAUUUGAUGUGUCUUUUUUCUUUUAGCCUCCAGGCAUGGUUUUUUAAUUGUACAUAUUUUGGUUUGACCUGCUUUGGCCUUAUUAUUGUAAUCACUUUUGAGUUUUAAUAACUAUUCCCUGCACUACCUACCUGAAAAACGUUCUCGUGGUCCCAUGACCAAUCAGUGAACAGCAGUCUGUUCACGUCACAUGCAGUCCCGACUCAGCCCUGAUGGGAUCUGCUCGGGAGAAGGUACCACAAAAACAGGUACUGGGCCGGAAAAAACAGUAAUGGAAAUGCCAAAUGGGCUGUGUGGAGCCGGUCGUAGAGCCCGUGAAAAAGGGGCAUAAAUCAAUCACAUUUAAAACAAACACACAUCUACACUAGAUACAGAAAAGUCAACACUAGUGUUUUUCCACCAAAAGAACUCUCAUUCUUGAACAAGUUUGGUUCGGGUGCCGUUUAACUUUGGUGUUUUGUUGAGCCACUUUUGGGAACUAAGCAUGAGUCAUCAACAGAGAGCGUUACAUAAUGCAGGGGAAAGAGUGGCAGCGAGGCAGUGGAGCAUGCUAAGCUGCGCGCAGCAUUCCUUCUAAUGCAAACAGAGAGCAUAAACUACAGUUGAGUUGGAAACUCUGCGAGAACAAUGCUUCAACCUGCCCACUGGAGCAGUUUGCGGAGAAAAAAACAAUCAUCCUGCCAUGCCCAAGUUGAACCAGAGUUUGUACCCUGGAAUCUCUUUUCAGAGGUGGAAUCGUGGGUCACUGAUUCGAAAGGAAGUUUGGGAACUGGAACAUUCGUAACAAACAUAUACCCAAGAUAAUGAGUUAUCUAUCAAGCUAUUGGAAAAAGUAGAAAAAAAGCAUUAUUAUUUCCAUCUUAACGACAAGGAUUUAUUAAAAAAGUUGCUUCUGGCCAACAUCUGCUGUUUUGGCAAUUAAACUAUUUAUUUGUAGUUCCAUAAUAAAUUGGUCACCUUCCCAACUCUUUGCCUUCUAAAACUUCUUUUGGUGCACUGAUCUAGUGUCACCAAAUAAAUACAGGCAUAAAGACCCUGAAUCUGUUGUAUUAAAAUAUAUUUCGCUAUCACAGAGUGUAGUAUAGGCAUUUUUUCAUAAUAUGCAUAUUGCAUACAGUGACGGAGAGAUUACAAUAAAUUUGUAAUUUAUUGUGCAGCUCUAGUUUCUAUUGUCACAUUGUAACUGAAAUGUGUGAUAAAAGUUUUUUUUUUUUUGUGGACUCUAACUCAUGACUGAACCGAGGUGAGUUUUUGUUUCUUUCUAGUUCAGUUUCAUCAUAUUUGAGAUUAUAAAUAUUCAAAAAUAGGAGCUUCAUUUUAUUUGUUUUUAUCAUGCUGGUGGUGGCACUUUAUACAUAAUUUAAAGUACAAAUCUUAGUUUAUAUUUUAUUUCUAUCCUGUAAGACUCACGAUGAAAAGACACUCAGGAGGCAAUUAGAGAAGUUUAUUUACAAAUAUUUCUUUGGCGCUCAGACCCCGGAGGAAGACACGAACGCUGAGAAUGACGUGAGAUUGAAUGAACAACUUAUGAACAGAAUUAGAGAUGUCUUCACCCUGGGAUCCGACUGGUGGUGGAGUGGAGGCCUGAGGAGGUAGGGGAAUUUGGAGGAGCUAGGAAGCCAGAUGGUGGAGAUGGGGAGGAGGAGGGUCGCAGCUCAGCUUGAAGAGCGAGGAAGCCCGUGAGUGAAGAUCUUCAAAGAGGAGCCUUGGACGGUGAUUGGCUGAAGAGGAAAUGCAGACUCGAUGCUAAUUGGCUG